GACGAACGCUGGCGGCGUGCCUAAUACAUGCAAGUCGAGCGGGCCUCCGGAGGUGCUUGCACCUCCGGAAGGCCAGCGGCGGACGGGUGAGUAACACGUGGGCAACCUGCCUUUGAGGCCGGGAUAACACCGGGAAACCGGUGCUAAUACCGGAUGCGUCCCCUUUCGCGCCUGCGAGAGGGGAGAAAGACGGUCUUUAAGGCCGUCGCUCAAAGAGGGGCCCGCGGCGCAUUAGCUGGUUGGUGGGGUAAGGGCCUACCAAGGCGACGAUGCGUUGCCGACCUGAGAGGGUGAUCGGCCACACUGGGACUGAGACACGGCCCAGACUCCUGCGGGAGGCAGCAGUAGGGAAUCAUCCGCAAUGGGCGAAAGCCUGACGGUGCAACGCCGCGUGAGUGAGGAAGGUUUUCGGAUCGUAAAGCUCUGUUGUGAGGGAAGAACAGCUUCCGGAGGAAAUGCCGGAGGUUUGCUGGUACCUCACCAGAAAGCCCCGGCUAACUACGUGCCAGCCGCCGCAGUAA
rnacentral:rRNA from 1 species